GCCAGGUUAGCUCACUCGGUUAAGGCGCUGCAUUGCGGAGCAGUUGUGGCUACCACAGUGCGGGUUCGAUCCCCAGAUGCACCAGUCA